AUUGAACGCUGGCGGCAGGCCUAACACAUGCAAGUCGAGCGGAUGAAGGGAGCUUGCUCCUGGAUUCAGCGGCGGACGGGCGAGUAAUGCCUAGGAAUCUGCCUUGUCGUGGGGGAUAACGUCCGGAAACGGGCGCUAAUACCGCAUACGUCCUGAGGGAGAAAGUGGGGGAUCUUCGGACCUCACGCUAUCAGAUGAGACUAGGUCGGAUUAGCUAGUUGGUGGGGUAAAGGCCUACCAAGGCGACGAUCCGUAACUGGUCUGAGAGGAUGAUCAGUCACACUGGAACUGAGACACGGUCCAGACUCCUACGGGAGGCAGCAGUGGGGAAUAUUGGACAAUGGGCGAAAGCCUGAUGCAGCCAUGCCGCGUGUGUGAUGAAGGUCUUCGGAUUGUAAAGCACUGUAAGUUGGGAGGAAGAGCAGUAAGUUAAUACCUUGCUGUUUUGACGGUACCAACAGAAUAAGCACCGGCUAACUUCGUG
rnacentral:rRNA from 1 species